rnacentral:ncRNA from 1 species
UCCCGCCCGGCGAAAAGCCACCGGAAUGGUGGCCUGCCUGGAGCAGUUCCAGGCUAGCCGGGUGGGUUUUC